UUGCAGCCAAUUAAGCCGACCAUCCACUUCCUGUGGGGCCCGGUGUGCAAUGGCUGCAGAUAGCAGCCUCCCUGGUAAUGUACGCAGCCUACUGCUUGAGUGGCUGGCCCUAAGGAACCCUUAAGACAGCC